rnacentral:rRNA from 1 species
CGCACGCGCGCUACACUGAUGCAUUCAUCAAGUUUACAACCUUGACCGAGAGGUCUGGGUAAUCUUCGCAACAUGCAUCGUGCUGGGGAUAGAUUAUUGUAAUUAUUAUCUUCAACGAGGAAUUCCUAGUAAACGCAAGUCAUCAACUUGCAUUGAUUACGU